GUAAGUCUUUUGCUGAUUUGUCAUAGAUGAACUUGGAGACCUGUCUUCUGUGACGUAGCUUCACCAGCACGUCUGUCACCACACAUGGCUCCAGGAGAGUGCUGGCUACUGGCAGAGCUGCUUUUAAGCGCCGUGCCAUGAGGCGCUGGGCCGGGCUGCUAUCCAUGCCUUCUGUCGGGGUAUUGCGCCACUGCAGGAUUGCUUUCCAGGCAUAUUUGCCCUCUCGCAGAGCUUUUUUGCAGAGGUUCUUUGCAAUUUUGACUGCGGACUCCGCCUUCCCAUUAGCUUUUGUGUGUCGCGGUGAUGAAGUGACGUGCUCGAAUUCCCAGUCUGCAGCAAAUUUUCGGAACUGAACUCCGGAGAAUUGGGGUCCAUUGUCUGAAAUUACCCUAUCUGGCUGGCCAUAGCGGGCAAACUGAGCCUUGCAGCGUUUGAUCGUUGUCUCUGCUGAGAGGUUGGGGAGGAGGUCAAUCUCCCAGAAGUCUGAGUAAUGGUCGACUACCAGCAGAAUGUGCAUUUACUGACAUAGUCUUUGAUUUCACUCUGCAUUCUUGGCCAAUACAGUGUGUCACGUGCUUGUCUGUAACAGGCCUCACCUCCUGUGUGACUUGAGUGCACGCGCGCCAACAUCUCAAGGCGCAGAGACCGGGGAAUAACGACCCUCUGACCCUUGAAUAUUACUCCGUUUUGAACACUGAGCUCCUCUUUGACUGGCCAAUAAUCUCUGACGGCUAAAGCAGUUUCUUCCUUGCAGUCGGGCCAGCCCAUCAGAAUCACAGACCUCAAUGCCUGGAGUUGCUCGUCCCUGUCUGUGUGCUGUCUGAUUUGUAUAAGGCGCUGGUCCGUGACAUUGAGGUAGUCAGCCUGGUUGAUGUGUUCAACAUCAACUUGCUCUGUUUGUAAGCUGCACACUGCGUGUCAUUCAUGCAUGGAGUGUGUGUGAGUGCCUGAUGCAGUAGCCCUGCUGAGUGUGUCACUCACAUACAUCUCUGGCCCUGGCUUAUACACCACCUUGAGGUUGUAGUUUUGUAGGGCCAGUAGCAUGCUUCGUAGUUGUUUCGGGGCAUUCAGGAGAGGCUUGCUGAAUAUAGCAAUAAGGGGCUUGUGAUCUGUCUCUGCGGUAAUAUUGUCGCGCCCCCGCAGAGUGACAAACCACUUUUGUCCUUUUGCCCUCACUGCCCCUAUGCACUCGCUAGCAUAUACAUCCUCUGUGCUGUUGUUCCCAGCAUCUGUGUUUGUUUCAAUGGAGUGCACUUUACCCUCCUUUCUCUUGCUUUUCAUGCAGACCCUUGUAGCUGCCUUUUCCCUUAGCCUAGUGACAAAGCUGUCAAUGGACUCCCCGUCCUCCUGUUUGCAACACCCGAAAACAUAACGCUCGUAGAUAACGUUCUUUGCUGGCUUAAAGUAAUGUUCAAGAGCAUCAAGAAUAGCUGUAGCGUUACCUUGCUGAGCUGCUGUUAGGUUCAGGUUGUGUUUGUAUACGUGUCGGCAUUCAGUUCCCAUUAUAGUCCUCAAAGUGGCAGCCACUACCUCAUCGUCCUUUUCCAGAAGUCCUGUUGCUAGUGCAUAGUCCUCCCAUUCACCUCUAAACGUAUCCCAGUUUGUGCUCCAAUCUCCGCUGAGCUUCAUGACGGCGGGAGGGAGAAUGUUCGCUGCCAUGUCUAACCGGUGCUAACAACACUGAAGCUAACUAGCAAACUCACUCUAGCUAAGGACAAUUCCGGCGACCGGCGAAGUUUUACUCAAAUAAGCAUUUUGGGGGGGUAAACCAGAACAGGUGACUCUAAUUUGCGGAAAGCAUGGUUAGUUAUCCGACUCUGACACCAUGUUUGAAUGUUAAAUGACGAGACAGAGGCAUUGACGCGAGUAACCAGUCUUGCUUGUUCAGUAUAUUGCAAUACAUCCGGGUAUUUCAAGCACACCGGUAACACUGGAGUUGCAGUAAUUAACAUUUACCAACAGAUGGCAUUACUGUGCCAUCUUACACCCAUAACAACAUGCACCAAACGUGUCACAGCUUCGUAAAAAGCGUUGCCUACCGCGGUCUUUGAAAUGAAAGCUGUCAGGCGAGAGCGGCCCCCACACACAGACAGUUUUUCCUCGGAGAAACGCACUAGAGACCUAGUUGAGACUCACGGGAUUUUGGAAAGAAAUUAGACGAUAUUAUUUUCAUUUUAGGAAAGAAACCAAACUAUUUUUGUGUUUUUUUCCGAGACACCCGAGGACAGCCACAGAGUUCCCUGGCGCGGAGAAAGUAACAUCUUCAACUGGCGACGACAGAGGGACACCACCGGAGGAGUCAUUCCAAGCAACUCUGCUCAAACAAAUGGAUUGGAGAGUUAUAUUUGUCUGCGCAGUAGCAUGGCAUGUUUCACUGGUGUCACAAUCUUAUGCCACAGGUGGUGUGAAUACAUCUCUCUCUACAGCUCAGAGCAACUUGUCUCUGUGUUUCACCUGCAACGGUGAGAGAUGUCAAGAUGUGAAAAAGAUUUUCAACUCAAUGAGAGAUGACAAAAUUUGGACGCAAAGUACUGCAACGUCUGCCCUUCUUGGCUGUUCCCUGACCUCGUCUCCCUUUGCUGGGAAGUGUGUGCCAUGUGUUGAGGACCGCAAGGUCUACAUUGUUUGCCUUGACAUGCCCAAGGAUCUCAAACUGGACCUGGAGGAUGGUGAUGGCAACUCAUUUUCCUACACUGAAGCUAGUGGAGUCAGAGGUCUUGCUGGGCAUGGUGGAGCAAUGAUCAGCAUUGGCAUGUUAGCAGCUGCCGUCAUCUUUGUCGCUUACUACAGAAGCCAGACCAAAUCAAGUAUUGUCUAGUGUCAACUUCAGAAGUCCACUCAGAGGAACACCAGACCCAUUUAAAGUUAUUAAAGACUGUCACGUCUACUGCUCCCCCUCUCCGGCGCACAGAGGGAGGGGGGCAGAACAUGAGACAGAGCUGCAUUUCAUGACAAAAUGUGAAAAAUAUAAAACAAUUAGAGAGUGUAAUUUCCCCAAAUUUGAAACCCUUAUUCAAGGUUUCAAAGACCUCUCUGGUGAGAGGCUACCCUUCCUGUUGGGGGAAAGACGCAGAGAGCUGGGGGUUGGCAGCGCACUACAUUGCUGCCUGCCAUAAGAUGAGGGACAGUGUCUGACAGACCAAUCAACCUGCACAUGUCCUCUACUGUAUGCUUAUUGUUUAAUGUAUGGUUAUUUUGACCCUUGGUUAUUGUUGUUACUGUUGUCCCGUUGACAAUUUUGAUUUAUUAUUUUCAUGUUGUAAAUAUCCAAAAUAAGCUUUGGCAAUAUGUACAUUGUUACGUUAUGCCAAUAAAGUGAAUUGAAUUGAAUUGAGAGACACACACACACACACAGACACAGAGAGAGAGAAACAGAGAGAAACAGAGAGGGGGGAGGGAGAGAGAGCACAGGGGGGAGGGGG
rnacentral:lncRNA from 1 species